UAUUAUCUAUAUUUUGACUAUGUUUCACCUACGGAUUCAUUGUUAUUUGAUGUAUUUCCUUGCAUUUUCGCCAUGUUAAGCUCCCUAGUUCUUGUUUACUGCUCUAUAUAUAUUGUGUAGGAAUUACUGGAGUUUAGCGUGGAUUCGGAGUCAAGAAGGAGUCAAGGAAUGCAUGAAAAGUGGCUACAUGGUCACCCAGUGUUCAACAACACAGGCGUGUUGAUUACAGAAGAUAAGCCCAGAAAGCAGAGCGAAACAGAAUUAAACACGGCCUGGUAAUGUCGAUCUGCACAGCCGUGUUGGAUGACAGCAGUCAGUUAUCAUGCGAUCUGGAGCAUUAUUUAAAGUUAUCUUUCAACACGUUUUUGGAAAAGAAUUAAAAGGAGACGCCCUGAAGCAUCAGAGAGGACCUGCAGGCUAGAGAUCUGGAUAUUUCUUUCUUCUUCUUUUCUUCUUCUCUCUACAAAAACUCUUAGAUUAUUUUUCUUUUGCUUUGGAACCUGCUGUUUGUGGAGAAUUGUGCGCAACUUCGACACUACGCUCUCAAGUGGAGGUUGGAAAAGGAAAUCAUACUUUAUUUUGGCUGGACAAAUGGUUCUGAAAAGGCUUCUGCUCGAGCUGCCAGAUUACAGGAAAGGAGGAGAAAGAGGAAUGCUGAUAGAUUUCAAGCUGCUGGAGCGGUUAGAAAAGAAGACAGAGGUGUGGAGAGCAUGGUGAUUCAGUUAGAAUGAGUUACAAAUGGUUCAGUAGUGAUGUUUUUUUGUUUUUUAUCCUUUAGAACUCUGUUCCAUUGUGAACUGUUCUGCUUUUGUUUUUUGUCAGAUCUUAUUAUGAUCUUCCUUUUGUUGGAGAUCCAUGGUUAUGUACAGAGGGGUGUUGUUUUUCAUUCUCUGUAGCUUCUGAUAUGGACUAUAAUACUCACUCUUG